rnacentral:tRNA from 2 species
GCUGGUGUAGCUCAGUCGGUCAGAGCAUCGAGCCGAUAACUCGAAGGCCGGCGGUUCGAUUCCGCCCACCAGCAC